GGGCCUCAAAAAUUUUGACUUAAAAACGGCUAAAUUCAAGUUACAAUGUUCAAUUAUAAUUGUGUUUUUA
rnacentral:tRNA from 1 species